AUUGAACGCUGGCGGCAUGCUUUACACAUGCAAGUCGAACGGCAGCGGGGGCUUCGGCCUGCCGGCGAGUGGCGAACGGGUGAGUAAUGCAUCGGAACGUGCCCAUGUCGUGGGGGAUAACGUAGCGAAAGCUACGCUAAUACCGCAUACGUCCUGAGGGAGAAAGCGGGGGGAUCUUCGGACCUCGCGCGAUUGGAGCGGCCGAUGUCGGAUUAGCUAGUUGGUGGGGUAAAGGCCCACCAAGGCGACGAUCCGUAGCGGGUCUGAGAGGAUGAUCCGCCACACUGGGACUGAGACACGGCCCAGACUCCUACGGGAGGCAGCAGUGGGGAAUAUUGCGCAAUGGGCGAAAGCCUGACGCAGCGACGCCGCGUGAGGGGACGACGGGCCUUCGGGUUGGUUAAACCGUA
rnacentral:rRNA from 1 species